UACGGGGGUGCGAGCGUUGUCCGGAAUCACUGGGCGUAAAGGGCGCGUAGGUGGCGACGCAAGUCAACGGUGAAAGCUCGACGCUACAACGUCGAGUCGGCCGUCGAGACUGCGUGGCUCGAGCACUGUAGAGGCAGAUGGAAUUCCGGGUGUAGCGGUGGAAUGCGUAGAGAUCCGGAAGAACACCGGUGGCGAAGGCGGGUCUGACUGG
rnacentral:rRNA from 1 species